rnacentral:lncRNA from 1 species
CUGUGCAUUGUUGGGAUUCCUGGCGAGUUCGAGAAUUGGUUUUGGGAAACCGAUUCUGCGGGUGGUUUCGAGUUUGUAAGUGAUGUCUUUUGAGUCAGUAGGUUUGGUUUCGGACUCGGUGGACCUAUCAUAGGUCCGGUCGACGGUCCUACACACUGCGGGAGCUAGGUGUAGUUGCAACACAGGUGAGUACUUCGAUCCGAGGUCGGUUCAAUAGUGUAUUGUAGUACACUGAACUUUAGCAAAUUGCGAAGUUCAAGUGUUAGAAUAGUAAUUGGAACUAUUCUACAUCUUUUGAGAGGUUGUCGAGAGGUUUUCGGCAAGUUACUUGAGUGAUCAAAUGGCCGGAAGAGCAAAAGUGCAUUGAAGCGGCGAAAUUCUGUAUUUUGUACUGAGUA